AGUGAACGCUGGCGGUAGGCCUAACACAUACAAGUCGAACGGCAGCACAGUAAGAGCUUGCUCUUACGGGUGGCGAGUGGCGGACGGGUGAGGAAUACAUCGGAAUCUACUUUUUCGUGGGGGAUAACGUAGGGAAACUUACGCUAAUACCGCAUACGACCUACGGGUGAAAGCAGGGGAUCUUCGGACCUUGCGCGAUUGAAUGAGCCGAUGUCGGAUUAGCUAGUUGGCGGGGUAAAGGCCCACCAAGGCGACGAUCCGUAGCUGGUCUGAGAGGAUGAUCAGCCACACUGGAACUGAGACACGGUCCAGACUCCUACGGGAGGCAGCAGUGGGGAAUAUUGGACAAUGGGCGCAAGCCUGAUCCAGCCAUACCGCGUGGGUGAAGAAGGCCUUCGGGUUGUAAAGCCCUUUUGUUGGGAAAGAAAAGCAGCAGGUUAAUACCCCGCUGUUCCGACGGUACCCAAAGAAUAAGCACCGGCUAACUUCGUG
rnacentral:rRNA from 1 species